CAGCGCGGGGGGUUGAGGUGGCACUUGGGGCGGCUAACGACCUUGAGCCCCCCGGCAUGGGGAGAGCGGGGCCCAGAGGCAGGAGCAUGGGCCUGGCAACCCUCCCCCUGGGAGCUGGGAUCCGCCAGGGCAGUGGGGGGGGGGGGGGGAGCCAGAGGCUGCGCCCCAGCCCCCCUUAGCAACCUCCCCUUGCUCCUGUACCCUCCAUACCCAGAGGGCGGACGAGCCACCUGGGAGCAAUGGCCUAAACGAGGGAUGGAGCUUGUCCUGGGGACUUCCCUAUGCUGACCCCCCUCCCUGCCCCCAGCCACUCCCCCCCCAUCCCAUUCCUCACCCCUCUGCCCCCAGCCACUCCCCCACCCUGGGGCCAGAUGGGAGCCGGCACCCCCUUGUGGGGAAAGGCCCCAUGCCCUUAGCCAGCUCCCUCCUCGCAAAGAGAGUUUCUGGCACCCAAAUCCCUUCCCUACCCCCCGUGUUCUGCUUUGAUCCUCUUCCGCCUCUGCCCAGGUGGAAACCGUGGCCAUGGAAGAGGCCCAGCCCGCUGCAGCGCAACGUGGCGAGAUUCUCAGGGGCUCAAGUGGAUCAGAAGGUGAGUAAAUUGGUGCCAUUCCAGCUGGCCAAGGAUUAGAAGAAAGUCCCCAUCAGAUGGGCAGAUAUUCUAAAGAAUGCCAUCAAGGACUACAAAGAGGUCUACUCCGAGAUCGUUAACCGAGCCAGCAGGACCCUCCAGCGGGUCACACUCUUCUGGGACUGGGACAGUGCCAGGCGCUAGGGGG